GCCUGGGUGGCUCAGUCAGUUAAGCGCCUGACUUCAACUCAGGUCAUAAUCUCGUGGUUUGUGAGUUCGAGCCCCGCAUCGGGCU
rfam:Felis catus isolate Cinnamon breed Abyssinian chromosome E1, whole genome shotgun sequence.